UCCUACGGGAGGCAGCAGUGGGGAAUCUUGCGCAAUGCGCGAAAGCGUGACGCAGCAACGCCGCGUGAGGGAAGAAGGCCUUCGGGUUGUAAACCUCUUUCAGGAGGGACGAAGCUACUCGGGUGAAUAGCCCAGAGGGUGACGGUACCUCCAGAAGAAGCCCCGGCUAACUACGUGCCAGCAGCCGCGGUAAUACGUAGGGGGCAAGCGUUGUCCGGAWUUAUUGGGCGUAAAGGGCUCGUAGGCGGUCUGUYGCGUCMGGAGUGAAAACUSGGGGCUUAACCYCGAGMCUGCUUCUGAUACSGGCWGACUAGAGGUMUGCAGRGGAGAACGGAAUUCCUGGUGUAGCGGUGAAAUGCGCAGAUAUCAGGAGGAACACCKRUGGCGAAGGCGGUUCUCUGGGCAUUACCUGACGCUGAGRAGCGAAAGYGUGGGGAGCGAACAGGAUUAGAUACCCUGGUAGUCCACACCGUAAACGAUGGGCRCUAGGUGUGGGACUCAUUMCAYGAKUUCCGUGCCGMAGCUAACGCAUUAAGCGCCCCGCCUGGGGAGUACGGCCGCAAGGYUAAAACUCAAAGGANUKGACGGGGGCCCGCAMAAGCGGCGNASCWUGCGGWUUAWUUCGAUGCANCGCGAAAACCUUAC
rnacentral:rRNA from 1 species